GCUCAUUCUUACAUUCUGGGCAAUGUUAAUAAAUACACAACUAUGUAGCCUCUUUGCAUUUAUUUUCAUCUGAAGUUCUAAACAUCCCUUAUCAAACUUUGCCUUUUACUAUGGACUGCUGUAUAUCUUUGGAACCCACUAAAAUGUUGACUUGGACUUUAUACUUUCUUACUUUGCAUCUAAUUGUGACUCAGCAGGCUGUCAAGAAUCCUAGAUAUUUAUUAACAUAGAUUAUGUAUGAUAAUGUAAACGAUAACUUAAGUUAUCCUAAAU